AUGAGCUCCUCCCCACUCGCCUCCGGCCGCGGACGCGAGCUCCGCUGGAUGGAUUCCAGUCCGCCCACUUCCCCCGCCAGAUCUGGCCCCUUCGGGGCGCCCCGCUCCUACCAGGCUGGACUGUGCGUCGGGCCACUCGCGUCCUCCGAGUCGGCCUCUUCACCUGCUGUGCGGCUCCGGUCCGAGGUCAGUCGCCUCUCCUUCGAGGUCUCCCACCCCAUUGAGGCGCCUUUGGAGGUCCCCCACGGCCGCAAGCGGCAACGCCGCCGCUCCCCGCGCCGUCGCCGGGUCGAACCCUCCAACGGCCGUCUACCCCGCCGCCGCGCCGUCCCCGGCGAGUGCCCGCGCUGCUACAACAUGGGCCAUCCAUGCUCGAAGUGCCGCCGCGCCAUCUGUUGCCGGCGAUGCCGCUUCCCAGGCCACGUUGCACGCGACUGCACCGCGCCUCGUUCGCCUGCCUCCUCCGCCGAGCCUCCUAGCAAGCGGCCCCGUGAGUCCGCCUCGCCCCCGUCCCCGGCGUCUCCCGCCAGCUCUGGCUCGAGUGUCGCUGGUUUGAGCCACCCCCGCUUCCUUCGUGUGUGGGGGCCGGCCGCUCCUUCCAGCAACGGCGCCUCCGCCACCUCCAGCACCACCCCGGUGGUGCUCUCCGGCCACCCUGCCCUCCGGCCGGCUGUCGCGCUCUGCUACUUGCCACGCACCACGCGCCUCAUCGCCGCUGAGCGGGAGCUCGCCGAGCGCGCCCUCCUGGCGACCGUCGUCGGCAGCCGCACGGGGAUCUCAUGCGAGGAGGUGGCGGCCUUGCUGCGUGAAAAGUGCGACCUUUUCGACGACGAGUUUUCCAUCCACUGCAAGGGUCACGAUGAGUUCUUGCUCAAGUUCUCCUCCUCCGAGGCGCGUGCCAGGGCGGGCCUACGCCGGCUGCGCUGCCCGCGCUUCCGCCUCAUCAUCCACCCUUGGAGCCACGCCCCCGGCUGUGACCCCAUCCAGCUUCGGUUUCGUGUGGAGGUGGAGAUCGAUGGGGUCCCCGAUCAAGCAUGGCACCGCUCCGCCGUGGAAACCAUGCUUGCGCCGUGCCUCGACAUCGAGCAUCUCCAACCAGCCACGCGUGACUGCUCGGACAUGUCCCACUUCAGGUUCUCGGCCUGGACGACCAACCCCGACGCCAUCCCCCGCUCAUCUGAUCUGCUGCUCCCGGAGCCG
rnacentral:rRNA from 1 species